UUUUGAUUAAGAGUUUGAUCCUGGCUCAGGAUGAACGCUGGCGGCGUGCCUAACACAUGCAAGUCGAGCGGAGUUUAUUAAAGGAAGUUUUCGGAUGGAAUUUAAUAAACUUAGCGGCGGACGGGUGAGUAACGCGUGGGCAACCUACCCUGUACAGAGGGACAACAACGGGAAACCGUUGCUAAUACCUCAUAAAACCCUAAAGGGGCAUCCCUUAUGGGUCAAAGAAUUUCGGUACAGGAUGGGCCCGCGUCUGAUUAGCUAGUUGGUGGGGUAAUGGCCCACCAAGGCGACGAUCAGUAGCCGACCUGAGAGGGUGAU
rnacentral:rRNA from 1 species